UACACAUUUAUCAGAUGGAAGAUGUGAUGAAAUUAACUCAACGUGUUCAGUAAUUUUAAUAGAAUGCUAUUUUACCAGGGUUGAGAACGAGAGAAUUUCUGCAAAGCAACACAUACCUAACAAUACCCAGAAGGUUAUUUACUAAUAUUAUCAGGAAUUUAAAGACACUAGACCAGAAAUGGUCUGGGUGCAGUGUCCCGGGUCCCUUAACCAUGCAAAGGCAAUUAUUGCAGUUUUUAAGUAACUGCAAUCACUACCUUUGAGGGUUAACUCCACCUCUAGUGGCUGUCUACCUAAGGGACUUCCGUGUCAUUUGCCUAACUGACGCUGGACAUCCUCACAUGAUGCAUGAGGACGUCCAGCAUCACCCAAGUGCCCAUAGGAAAGUAUUGUACAAGUUCUAAUGCGAGUGCAGCAAUCAUCGUGCAUAUGCAUUAGGUCUCCCCCGCCGGUUGACAUUGAUUGAAGAGAAACCGAGGCGGAGCCCGAAUGAGCACAGAGACAUCGGUGCUGAACUCUGGUAAGUAACAGAAGGGUUUUUAACAAAAUAGGAAGCUGUUUUCCUGGCACUAUAGUUUCCCUUUAGUUACUCUUAAAGUGUUAAAAUAACACUUUAGGCACCAUAAUCACCUCUUCUCAUUGAAGUGCUUGUGGUUCCUGGUGUCAUUCCACGAGUCAAUAUUAAAGGAGACAUUUGUUUCAUACUUACCAUAAUUUUCUUUUCCUGGCUAUUUUCCAUGACAGCAUCACUGAUGGGUUUAAUCACACCUCCCAGGUGAAAGGACAGGAUCUUAAAAGAAAUUAAACAAUGAAAUCAUAUAAAAGCCUCUAAGGCAACUUUGUCUAAACAUAAAGGUAAGGAAAAACUUCUGUUCUUCCUAUCUAAUCUAGCUUUAAGCAGAGUCCCUGGAGAGAUUCCUGAUUUUACUAGAGAAUCCCUUUCACAAGCAAUAGGUUGAUAGCUAUAGAGCUGGUCCUUGAUGGAGAAGAUAGAUCCAAGGUUACUGAAGGUUUCAUGCUCAUAAGCCAUGUAAACAAAGCUCUAUGAGGCCAAAAUGGAAGCAUGGUGAUCAUCUUAAGUUUGGAGUUCCAAAAUUUUCUAAAGGAUCGGUGAAUGAAAGCAAUUGGAGGGAAGAUGUUACCCAAAUUGAAUGUUCACAUUUGUAUUGGUGCAUAUUGAGCUUCUGCUUGGAAUUUGUGGUUUCGAGAAAAGAAUCUUGGAAACUGAACAUUCCUGGAAGAAGCCAUCAGAUCUGUUUGAGGCAUUCUCCUGCAUCCAGGGUUGAUCUACUCAGGAAAUCCCCUAUACAUUAUCCUUCCCCAGAAAGUAGACUCAUCUGAGACACACAAAAUGUUGUUGACACCAAAGAAUGAUUCGUCUCAAUUCGCUUAUGAGAUUUGCGAUCCUCGUCCCUCUUUGGUGAUUUAUACAUGACGCAGCAGUCUUGUUGUCCAUCUUGACCUUUCAGACAUUAAGGUACACUAUAAAUUAUCCCAUGAAGCAGUUUAAUGUCUAACAUGAAACCUGACCCAUUUAGUCCUGACAAGCUAGGCUGUAUACUGGAUCUUUCAGAGGGAGAGAGGCUGAACUAUCUCUGGCUAUAACCGGGUGAGGCCAAAAUAAAAAUGUUAAAUCUUCAAACUACUUGCCUGUCACCCGAGUACAGGAAAAAAACUGGAAAGGAAGGACUUUUAUAUGAUC